GGGCUGGCCUGUGCAGAGGAAAUUCAUGUCUUGGCUCCUGCUAGUCCCUCUGCCUAGAGAGACCUUUCCCCUCUUGCUCCUCAGUUGAAAUUCCUUCGUUUCAACUCCCAUAUGUCCUCCCCUGGGUGAAGGGGUGGCGGUGGUUUGUCAUCCCCACCUCUGUACUCUCUGGGCACUAUCACCUCCAGAGAGGAGGCCGUCUCUGCACCGGGAUGUGCGGAGACCAGGGGCUGUGUGUGUUUUGUUAAUUCUGUCUGCCACAGGGCUUAGUGUUGCGAUUUGUACUGAGGAGUAGUCAGUGAGCAGCAGACAUGAGUUAGGUCAGAGCGAAAACCAUUUUCCCCCAGCCUCAUUGUAACGAUUGGAGGAACGAAGUGGAAACUUGACCUAUCCCAACCUGGAGGCCAGAGGGAUUAGAGAGGGUUUCCGGUGAACAGGCGGCUAGGCGGAACCCCUCAGCCUGUGCAGGAUCUGGGGGAGCUACUACUCAAGAACCUCUGCAGCUUCCAACUGUUUACCUCCUGGGUACCAUGGCGAUGGGAAAUUGGUUGUCAUGGCAACCCCAUUAUUGACAAGACGCUGCAACCGCAGGCAGAUAGUGAAUGAGGUCAGGAAACGCAUUAAGCACAGGAGCAUCAAAGGCAAGAGGCACAAGCAGUCCUAGCCAAAGUCCCUGCUAAAGUGACUGAGAUUUUGCAGAACUAGUCACCCAAAGGGCAUCCACCCAGUGA